AGGGACUAUGGAGGUGUUUAUGUUGGUCUACCUGCUGCAGCAGCUAAGAUUUCCAGCCAGACAAAAACAGCACCUACAGGAACCUGACCAGAGAGAACAAUCUGGAGAACAGACUGUUGGGAGACAAGUCCUAGGCAAGAGUCAGCCCAUUGUUUUAUGAGUUUGGAGCAGAUGUAGUCAGUUAUCUGCCAUGAUCACUCAUUGCCAGUGAUUUACUCAGCCAGAAAAAUCACACCACCCAAAAGCUUGAAAGAGUUGCAACCAUGGAUCAAGCUGGGUGCUGAAAUGGAAAGGGAUGCAGAAUCAAGCUUUAUGGAAGAUUUUGAUGCCACUUGGUGUAGCAUUAAUUAGUAGGUAUACAAUACUUCUGCACAAGAAUGUAUGCUGCUGAUGGUUAACACUUUGAAUAACAGUAUAUUUGUUUUGCUUCCUGUAUUUUUGAUAGCUUUUUUAACAAAAGAACCAUUUCUAUUGUUCACUCAAGUGUUCCUAAGCUGACAUUACAAUGCAUUACUAAUUUACUUAAGAAUAAUAAAUUUAGUUGAUUCGUAUAUUCAAACAGUUGCCUUUGGACCUUAGACAAGGGUUCCAAAAGACAUUGUCAGAUCCCUUUGGUUACCAGUUGUUUUUAUAUUUACUAUGAACCUCUUACUAAGAGGUUACUGAAUAUUUUUAAAUACUUAAAAUUAUCCAGAAGUUGAAUGUAAUUUUUCAAUGGAUUGUGCUUUCUCUUCCUCUUUCAUUUAUUCACUCAUUCCUAUUAACCAUAAAAGAGAGAAAUAGCUGCUUUCCCGCCUAAUGGUUGUGUUACAUCUUCCAUUUCUCACAAUAUUUUAGAAAAUGUUAUUGUAGGCAUGGCAGGUACUGCAGCAAGACAAAGGUAGCUUGUCCUGUUGCGCUUGCAAAGAAACUCCAGGCAAGCCCCAUUGAAAUAAUUUUUUGGGGGGGGGGAGUUUGCCUGGCCCCCAGUGCAGCUGCUUUUAUUGUGCUAUUUAUUUUUCAUUAUCUGAUAUCUUAAACCUUCCACAAGCUAACCAGAGUUACUUGGUGAGUGGGUGGGUGUGGAAACUCAAUGAAUAAAAAUAAUGAAUAAAUAAAAUUGCAUAUGUUCAUAGCCAUAAUACUGGUGUGUGUGUGGGGGGGGGGUGUCUAGCCAAGCUUCCAGUUAGGCACCCACCACUUAAAUUUGGAGAUGUUUUGACUGGUGUCAGCAUUUUAUAGUUCAGUGUUGCAGGUUGGAAUUUAGGCGGACAGUCCAUUGAGCAGGUUAAAAUCUUUAAAUAUCUAGGGAUAGUAUUUCAAGCCUCAGGAAAUAGAAAUGCCCAUUUGGACUAUGUAACCCAUAACGCAGAGAGGUCUGCCUUAGCCAUCCUAACCUAUUACUUUUCCAGAGGAGUGCAGUUUAUUCCCGCUGCAAUUAAGUUGUUUGCAGCUAAAGCUCGAGCACAACUGUUAUAUGAGGCCCAAUUAGGACCAUACAACAACAUGAUUACUUUGGAAAGAGUUCAAACAAAAUUUCUAAGAAAUAUCUUCUAGGUACCCAGCUGUGUCCCAAAUGCAGUACUCCAACGGGAAUCAGGAGUCAGCACACUUGAAACCAAUCUUUGGAUUAACAUCUUUACCUACUGGCU